rfam:Schistosoma mansoni strain Puerto Rico chromosome 1, complete genome
CUCCAGCUGACGAGUCCCAAAUAGGACGAAGUGAGCGUCAAACUGGAU